GUUUCUAUAGUUGAAUAACAACAAUGAUUUUUCAUGUCAUUAGUCAUGGCUAAUAUCCAUGUAGAAAUU
rnacentral:tRNA from 1 species